UACGUAGGGCGCAAGCGUUGUCCGGAAUUACUGGGCGUAAAGCGUGCGCAGGCGGUUUUGCAAGCCGGAUGUGAAAUCCCCGGGCUCAACCUGGGAAUGGCAUUCGGGACUGCAAGGCUGGAGUGCGGCAGAGGAGACUGGAAUUCCUGGUGUAGCAGUGAAAUGCGUAGAUAUCAGGAGGAAUACCGAUGGCGAAGGCAGGUCUCUGGGCUGACACUGACGCUCAUGCACGAAAGCGUGGGGAGCAAACAGG
rnacentral:rRNA from 1 species